AACGAACGCUGGCGGCAUGCCUAACACAUGCAAGUCGAACGAGACCUCCGGGUCUAGUGGCGCACGGGUGCGUAACGCGUGGGAACCUGCCCUUAGGUUCGGAAUAACUCCCCGAAAGGGGUGCUAAUACCGGAUAAUGUCUUCGGACCAAAGAUUUAUCGCCUUUGGAUGGGCCCGCGUUGGAUUAGCUAGUUGGUAGGGUAAAAGCCUACCAAGGCGACGAUCCAUAGCUGGUCUGAGAGGAUGAUCAGCCACACUGGGAGUGAGACACGGCCCAGACUCCUACGGGAGGCAGCAGUGGGGAAUAUUGGACAAUGGGCGAAAGCCUGAUCCAGCAAUGCCGCGUGAGUGAUGAAGGCCUUAGGGUUGUAAAGCUCUUUUACCCGGGAUGAUAAUGACAGUACCGGGAGAAUAAGCUCCGGCUAACUCCGUG
rnacentral:rRNA from 1 species